rnacentral:rRNA from 1 species
AUGCACGGCAUGAAUAUGUUCAAGGGAACAGAGCAGAUAAGCAUUAUUGUGGGACUAUCUAGAUCAGAUCUUGCAACUCCAAAAGGUGAAGGGCCCUUGAAAUGCUGUGAGAGUUCACUCGAGCUAGUAAAUGUUCUGAAGAAUGAGAUCCGUGAUGGACUACUGACGUUCAGAAGCAAAUGGGUUUUAGAGCUGGGCUGCAGAUAUGGGCUUCCUGGGAUAUUUUCUUGCCUGAAGGGAGCUUCAACAGUACAUUUUCAGGAUCCCAGUGCUGGAAUAAUAAGAUGCAGAACAAUCCCCAAUGUACUCGCAAAUCUCGAGCAAACUCGAGACAACCAGAGCCACCAACAAGGAAGCCCUCUUGCUCCAUCAUGGCAACAGUUGUCUCAAGACAUCCAUUUCUAUGCUGGGGAGUGGGAUGAGCUUCACACGGUCCUGUCAGUGAUACAGGAGGACGAGGUGGAUGCAUCGUCCGGCAUAGGGCUAGGGUUCUGUGAAGACGAUUUUUUGGAUGGUUGCAGCAGCCAGGAUGGGAACAAUAUCUGCCACGAAACCUCGUCAAGGCGAUCAACAAAACUGUCAGGCAGCCAUGCAUGGGAGAGGGGAAACGAGGCCUGUGCAGGAGAUGAGGGUUGA